rnacentral:rRNA from 1 species
CGACACAACCACAAACUCAUAAAGAAGUUCGACCUGGUGAAAUUUCUGACCGCCCACAGAGGGUUCACCCCCGUCGAAAGGAAAUUCGUAAAGCUGCUACAUGAUUGUAACGUCGGUCCAUCAAGAAUGGUACAGAUACUAUCUCUCAUCCACAGCAAAAAGGGGACUCUGAGUAGCAUGCCGUACAUACCAGCUGACGUCACAAUCCUACAGGCCAAGUACCGUAGAGAGAGCAAGUUGGCAGACAUAGAGGCCACAAUAGCCUACUUCGAUGCGAAAGCAAAGGAAGAUCCAGAUUUCUUCUACAGGAUAAGGUUGGACGAUGAGGACCGUGUCAGGAACAUGUAUUGGGUGGAUGGUGCUGCAAGGAGAGCCUACAAACAUUUCCGAGAUUGCAUUUCAUUCGACGCGACGUACCUCACCAAUAUGUACAAGAUGCCAUGCGCUCCUUUCAUAGGAAUAAAUAACCAUAACACAGAUGGGUACGUUUGGCUGUUCAAGACCUUCUUGGAGUGCAUGGAUGGACUUGCUCCGAUGAACAUAAUAACGGACCAAGAUUUCAGCAUGCGUGCAGGCAUAGAGGAGGUCUUUUCGUUGGCAGUGCACAUGCACUACAGGUGGCACAUUAUAAAGAAGGCUGAGGAGACGCUAGGACCAUUCUUUGCCACUACGCAGCGCAGCGAGGGGUUCAAUGCUGUUUUAAAGCGACGGGACGGCAUUGUGUGCUGUCACAUACUAAAAGUCAUGGACAUGAACGCUGUGACACGCAUGCCCCGCCAUUUCAUAAGGAGGCGAUGGACUUGGGACGCUGACGACGCGUUGGCGCCGCAGACAACACACGCAGUUCUGGCUGUGCAUGACGAGAGACCUGAGUCAACCAUGGAAGCCGUGAGGCACGUUGUGCUGACAAAGAACUAUGCUGAGCUAAUUGAUGAAGCGUGCAAGAGUGAUGACACAGCGAGAGUCGCAGAAAAAACAGGAAGGCACUGA